rnacentral:rRNA from 1 species
GAUAAACGCUGGCGGCGUGCUUAACACAUGCAAGUCGAACGAAGUUUUUCCUUCGGGAGAAACUUAGUGGCGGACGGGUGAGUAACGCGUGGGUAACCUGCCCUGUACAGGUGGACAACAGCUGGAAACGGCUGCUAAUACCGCAUAAGCCCUUAGCACUGCAUGGUGCAUAGGGGAAAGGAGCAAUCCGGUACAGGAUGGACCCGCGUCUGAUUAGCCAGUUGGCAGGGUAACGGCCUACCAAAGCGACGAUCAGUAGCCGAUCUGAGAGGAUGUACGGCCACAUUGGGACUGAGACACGGCCCAGACUCCUACGGGAGGCAGCAGUGGGGAAUAUUGCACAAUGGAGGAAACUCUGAUGCAGCGACGCCGCGUGAGUGAAGAAGUAUUUCGGUAUGUAAAGCUCUAUCAGCAGGGAAGAAAAUGACGGUACCUGACUAAGAAGCACCGGCUAACUACGUG